UGAAAUAGGAUUUAGGACAAGCGCUUUCUCCUUGUCGUUAACAUGUUGUUUACUUUACACUCAAUUGGCAUGGAAUCAGCUGCUUAGCGGUCAAAUGUUAGUGUAAUAUUAAUAACUUUAUUAUAACGUUACUAAAUAUUAAAACAGUGU